UACAGAGGGUGCAAGCGUUAAUCGGAAUUACUGGGCGUAAAGCGAGCGUAGUCGGUUAUUUAAGUCGGGUGUGAAAUCCCCGGGCUCAACCUGGGAAUUGCAUUCGAUACUGGAUAGCUAGAGUUCGGCAGAGGGAAGCGGAAUUUCCGGUGUAGCGGUGAAAUUCGUAGAUAUCGGGAGGAACACCAGUGGCGAAGGCGGCGAUCUGGGUCGAUACUGACGCUGAGGUGCGAAAGCGUGGGGAGCAAACAGG
rnacentral:rRNA from 1 species